rnacentral:rRNA from 1 species
AUUGAACGCUGGCGGCAGGCCUAACACAUGCAAGUCGAGCGAGCGGCGGACGGGUGAGGAAUAUCUGUGAGACUGCCUGAUGGAGGUGAAUAACGACUGGAAACGCUAGCUCCUACCGCAUACCAUCGGAUGUACCCAGAUGGGAUUAGCUGGUAGGGGGGGUAACGGCUCACCUAGGCGACGAUCCCUAGCUGGUCUGAGAGGAUGACCAGCCACACUGGAACUGAGACACGGUCCAGACUCCUACGGGAGGCAGCAGUGGGGAAUAUUGCACAAUGGGCGAAAGCCUGAUGCAGCCAUGCCGCGUGUGUGAAGAAGGCCUUCGGGUUGUAAAGCACUUUCAGCGGGGAGGCGUUACCCGCAGAAGAAGCACCGGCUAACUCCGUGCCAGCAGCCGCGGUAAUAC